GUGCCAGCCGCCGCGGUAAUACGUAGGGUGCGAGCGUUAAUCGGAAUUACUGGGCGUAAAGGGUGCGCAGGCGGCUUCGCAAGUCAGGCGUGAAAUCCCCGAGCUUAACUUGGGAAUUGCGUUUGAAACUACGAAGCUGGAGUGUGGCAGAGGGAGGUGGAAUUCCACGUGUAGCGGUGAAAUGCGUAGAUAUGUGGAGGAACACCGAUGGCGAAGGCAGCCUCCUGGGCCAACACUGACGCUCAUGCACGAAAGCGUGGGGAGCAAACAGGAUUAGAAACCCUCGUAGUCC
rnacentral:rRNA from 1 species